rnacentral:lncRNA from 1 species
CCCAAACCAGAACUCCCUUCUGAGGCCAUUCGUUAAGAAAUUUUUUACAGUCCAAAUGGGUGCUGAAACUUACGGGUUUGGAAGUUUUUCCUAGCCGGAAAUGGUGCAGGAUCGCCGGAAGUAUCGUUCUCUAUCGCCGGAGUUGCUUGCAAAACGCCGAAAAUCGUCGAAAAUUUGAGAGCAAAUUAUGAUUUUCGUCUGGCAAAGAUAGAAACUCUGAUAAAACCCAGAGUUCGCCUUUUAUAGGAAAGACAAGUCCAAUCUCCACCAUUGAAUUCAAAUACGAUCAAUCUAAACCGUUCGUCGCAUCCUCAAUCCGGGCCGUUGAAAUGAAACGCCAGAUUUGAUCUACGCCCAAGAUGUCGCUGUGACUUUCACGCUAAAUUGAAACGCGUCACCUCGGUUACAAACAGUCGUCAAUAAUAAUUACUAGCCGCAGCAGCCUUUUAGGAGAAUGGGCAUGGUACCCAACUGCCACCUUGGAAACACGCAACAGUUGUCAAAUCAUUGGACGUUUGGGUCGCCUCGGAUGAGCUCCUCCUCCAACUUUACAAAGCUUGGACGCACCUAACGCGAACGCCCCAUUGGCUCAUCGCCUCGACCGCUGCAUUUCCUCCCAUGCUUUACAAAGUUUCAGUCAUCUCCCCACGCAUCGACCUUUUCCUGUCAACGCAUCGGUGCGAGAUGAGUCCCUCAAACUUUACAAAGCUUGGACGCACCCGACGCGAACGCCCCAUUGGCUCAUCGCCUCGGCCGCUGCGUUUCCUCCCAUGCUUUACAAAGUUUCAGCUACCCCUACGCCGCGACCCGGUCAGGAAAACAAAUCAACGUAUAAUAUAAAUAUUCAUUCCCGAAUUUGGGGGACUACUGUUAGGCCUCGAUUAUUCGGGCCUCGAUACCGAAGUUUCAUUUCACCACCAAGUAGACCACUCCGACCCUCCCGAAGCUUCUCCGAAGUGAUAUAUCGAUUCCUACUACUGAUCUGCCGAAGCAUCCCACCUCCGAGGUCGGGAUCAAGUGGACCCCGGUUAGAAGAUCCGCCGCCAAUUUAAGAUUUGUCUUGCAUCUAAUGUUUAAAUUGAUUUGACGUCCCCAUGAGGCUAUUUGAUGUGACUUAUCAACUUUAUGUCAAUUCAACUCGGGGGAAACAAACUGUCCGCCCACUCUACAAGCGCGGCUGAUUGACGCCUAUGAGCAGACGCUUCAUACCAUCAGAUGUAUACACGUGUCCCACAUCCCACGGUUCAUACCA